UACGACCGCAUCAUCUUGAAACACCGGUUCUCGUACGAUCACCGAAGUUAAGCAACGUCGAGCUUGGUUAAUAUCUUGAUGGGUGACUGCUUGAAAAUAGCAAG